rnacentral:rRNA from 1 species
CAGCAGCCGCGGUAAUACGUAGGAGGCGAGCGUUGUCCGGAUUCAUUGGGCGUAAAGAGCGCGCAGGCGGCUUGGUAAGUCGGAUGUGAAAUCCCGAGGCUCAACCUCGGGCCUGCAUCCGAUACUGCCCGGCUAGAGGUAGGUAGGGGAGAUCGGAAUUCCUGGUGUAGCGGUGAAAUGCGCAGAUAUCAGGAGGAACACCGGUGGCGAAGGCGGAUCUCUGGGCCUUACCUGACGCUCAGGCGCGAAAGCUAGGGGAGCGAACUGGAUUAGAUACCCAGGUAGUCCUAGCCGUAAACGGUGGACACUAGGUGUUGGAGGCAUCGACCCCUCCAGUGCCGCAGCUAACGCAUUAAGUGUCCCGCCUGGGGAGUACGACCGCAAGGUUGAAACUCAAAGGAAUUGACGG